ensembl:lncRNA
CGCUGAAAUCCCCUUUGCAUGGCUUAAGGUAUAGGCUGGUGACCAGCAGAUGGCAAUCUGCGCCUGUCACAGAAUGCAGGGUUUUAAUGCAGGAGCUCUCGUGUACAACUUCCCUUGCUUAUUACAGUUUACUUGAAGGGCAAAAAGACCUGGAAAUCGUGGGCAGCCUUUGUUAGGCUCAGAAUGUCAGAAUCUGGAAAAGCACAGCUGAAGUUCUGCUUUAUGCAAAUCCCAGCCAGCAGCAUCUGUGAGAAGCAAGCUAACCUAACGGCAUAAAUUUGUGCUACUCUUUUUCAUUUUUAAGUACAGGACAGAUAAUUAUUUUACAUCAUUGUUGUGAUUUUGCUUCUGUGUGCUGCUAACCUUUUAAUGCACUCUUUAUAAAAAGAAAAUGUCUGUUUUCCCUGUACCCCAUGUUUUUCUCCUGGCGUUUAACAUGGAAUGCAAAAACGUGAUCUUCAGCUGAUUUAAAAAGAAGUCAAGGCACAAAAGAAAAGCAUUUUUCCUGCUAUAGUGAUAAAUCUGCCAUGCUAGAGUAAUGUGUCCAAGCAACAGUAUGAGAGUCUAGUUUAGCAUUUGAAUUGGAAUACAGAUGGCAUUAAGGCUAUUGCUGUGCGAUUUUGAUACACUUUUUUUUAUCGCAGAAGAGAAGAUUAAUGCUACUAAUUUCAGUUAUGUGAAAACUGUGAGCUGAUAAAGGACCUGGAUGCUUUUUAAAGCAAAUAUUAAUAGUAGAACGAGGAAUAUUCCUAUGCUGUGGUGGAAAUAAUUGUGCAAGAGUCAUGACACCCAGUUCAGAGUACCAUUACUGUACAGAAAGAAAUGUAAGGAGAUAUUGGUUGGCUUUGAAUGGGGUGUAAAAUGCACCAGUAUUUCUCUUCAAAUUUGCUCCUGUGGGAAAUGCUUUUCAGCAUUUGAAUCAUUUUAAUGGUUGAGGUUGGAAAGGACCUCAAGAGAUCACCUGAUCCAACUCCCUGCUCAAGCAGAAAUGCGUACAGCUGAUUCCUUCGGACCAUGCCCAGAUGACUUCUACUGAAGAGAAGAAUUCACUCAAAUGUGUUUUAUUAUAUCAUUAAUAUACAUUCCUAGUAACCACAUGGAAGAUAAGUGUGGGGUAGUUAGUGUGCCAUGAAUUCACACUUGAGCUUGAAUUAUAGUAAUGGUGCUGAGAAAAAGUUUAAUAGGAAUAACUGCUUUCUACGCUGGAGUACACUCUGAAAGGAAGGAAGUCUUCCCAGAUGGUGAAAUUUUGAAGCUCUGCUACUGUCAGUACAGAGUAUGGAAUGAAUUACAGGGUUAACAUGUUUUCCCACAUAAGCUUCCUGCUCUCUUUGAAACUUCAACCAUUUUAUGGAGAAUCCAUCCAUCGAGCUGUAAUUGAAGUCAUUAUGGCACAAAGGAAUAACCAAAAGAGCAGAACUAAAAAUGGUCCUCAUGAGCAAACAAACAAGCAAAAUGAUGACCCUUCACAAGUGUGUGCUCUCCACCAGUUUUGACAGCUAGCAUCUACAGGAUUCAUUGCACAUCACUGAGGUGCUUAAGUUAGUGACCUGGGCACCCUAAACUUCCUGGACAGUCAAUGGAAUGAAGCAUUUCUUCAAAAGUGUGUCUUCCUAAUCUGCUUUUUUUCUCUAUUGAGUAUACAAGAAGAUUAUAUUAGAUCAGAGCAAAAUAUAUUAUAAUCAGAGCACUUUCAGUAUAGCUUGAACAGUGACUAAGAAGACCAAUACAUUCCUCGGUAGGAAGCCAACAAAUUUUUUACAGAACUGAAGAUGGAACAAGAUGGUUUUAAAAAUCCCUUCCAACCCAAACCAUUCUAUGAUUCCAUAAUUUUUCAGUUCUACUAAAACCAGUAACUCUGUUUCGAGAUUACUGUCAUUCAUUUCUUGAAUUUGGUGAUAAUUAACUGUGCCCAUCUUGAAGAACAGCAGAAAUUGUUUUACUUGCUCUGUUUCUAUGCUCAUGAAGGACAAGAAAAAGCGUGUUCACCAGUGUAAAUUUAGGAAAUUAUAGGAAGGUCAAGUGGUUAAUGAUAUUAUAGGGUUGCUGUUUAACACUUAGCAAAAGUAAAAUUUUUUCUGUUCUAAAGGCAGUCUAAUUCACUGUAAUUGACAUUGAAAUGUUAUCUCCCACUAAUUUGGUAUAAACUGUUUAACUGCUGAGUUUCAUAUUCAAAGCCAAACUCUUCAUUUACAUUUGUAUGUUGGGACAUAAUUUGAUUUACCAUUUCUCCUGUUUUCCACAAAAUGUGCUAAUGACAUGUAUAAAAUUUAUGAACACAUAUUCAAAAAGCCAAAGAACAGAUCUGAAGAAUCUCUGUUUGGCUGAACUAAGCAGGGCGUAUCUCUCUCUGUUGGAAAGAUGUCAUUUCCCAUAUGAGCUGUGCUAAUGUAGCACUUGUCAUCCCAAGCUUGUUUUUGCUGUGCAGUUGGUCAGCCUACUGCAUCUGCAAACUUUUUCUAUAACCAUCAAAAGACUAGCCUAUAUCAUGACAUUUUCAAGGCUCUCAAUAUCCAAUCAAGCUAAAAACAAAACAAAACAAAAAACAGAAACAAAACAACUUCCCUCCCCCCCCCCCCCCCAAAAAAAAAAACCCACGAAAACCCACAAGUUUUUCUUACAUUACAACACUCCUGCUUCUACCCCAGAUGGAGAUGAAACUAAAGUGUGAUUUCAAAAAUGGCAAAGAAAAUGUGUGACAGACAGAAAUGACAGGGCUUUGUCUACAGCUGGUGAUACAAUAAAGUGAAAUGCCUUCUCAUUGUCCCUAAGCAAUACGUGUAGGGCAGGCUAUAUAAUGUUACUUGAACAUAUUCAUUGAGCUCAAUCAGACCCUAAGCAGAGAAGACUCUCAUCAUCUGCACUUGUCAUAGUCUCUCAGUCUGUGAGCCAACUGCAUGCAUGCUUUUAUAUAUAUAUAUGUAUGUAUUUUUUCCCCUGUGGUUCUGACAUCUGUGAAUCCAGGAGGCCAAAUGUAGUGGUACAAAAAUGACUCAGUCAUCCAGACUGCAAUGGCACUACCCUAGGCAAGUGUUUCUGCUUUCAGCGUUUUUAGUUCAGAACAGAAGAUAUCAUAAAAAGUCUUAGUUUUACAUAAGUAAACUUCUUAACUAGAUAGAAGAUAUGACAAUGCUAAGUUAGGGCAUAUGGGAUUUUCAUGACAUGCCUGUUGCAAUUCUUGGGAAACACAGCAAAUUGUGAACUGAAGGAAGUUGUUAUGCAAGGUUUAGUCUGUUAUUCCAUGGAAAUAGAGUGCAUGAAGAUGCUUAUGUAUUUGUUUGUAUUUGUUAACUAAUGAUAUUAGAUUAUGUCUUCUAAAAUUUUAGCCUCUGUAAGAAAGAACAGAUUCUUCUGAUUGUAUUUUUAUAAUGAAUUUGCCACUCUCUUAGUAACCUGUUAAAUUUUGGUUUACAGAGCGAUGAGUAUCUGCACAGUUAUAAUGCAAUUAGUAGCUGGAAGUAUCUUCUGUGAAGCUAUUUUCCUACCCUUUGUAGUAUGUUGAACCUGAAUUGUAGCGUCAUUUUCUUUUAGUUAUAGCACAGAAAAAUAGGAAUCAUUGUACAAAAGUAAAUCAAAUGACACUUAUAAAACAAGAUGACAAAGAGACAUGAAUAUUUGUUUUAGUCUGUAUAUCUUGUGGGCCUGUAGAUGUAAAUGCAAAUAUUGUUACUUCCUGGCCUGUACUUGCUGAAUAGCAUGUAGCUAGGAGUGUGUGGCUCUCGUUUCUGUGUAGUUAUGCAAUGAAUUAGAAAGUUAUUGAAAAGCAGCUUUGUUCUGAGACCAUAAAGAUCACUUAAACGUUCAAAUUGCAUAGGUAGAUAUACAUGAAUAAAUAAUUACUGAUAAUAAUGCCAGACAAGACAUGUAGAAAACAUUUCUUGAACUUACUUUGCCAGGUAGAUAACUCAGAAAAUCAUUCUAUUUCAGAGAAUAGUUGUCUGCAGAUGUCUCAGAUCCAAAGAGACAAAAGGUUUCAAUAAGUAAAUCUAAAGAUGGCAUCUAUUUGUAAAUAUGGUGGUAUGGAAAUGCCUGCAAACUCUGCUAGUUCUUCCACUGAACCCAUGCCUUUUACUUUAUCCCCUGGAAAAAAAAAAUGUAGUUCGUAAAAUUCUUCUUAGCUGACAGCACUAUCAACUAAUUCCCUCUAAGUCACUUCCAUCUUUCAGUGUUCAACUUACCAUCUGUUCACUCCUACCUACAGCCACCUAAACAAAUGAAAGACAUGAAGCCAAUUGCUUUUUGCUGUUCUAAGCAUUUAUAUAUACAUAUAAUGAAACUUUCAAACAAAUCUCAGAAAUUGAAAUGAAACAAAUUACAUAGAAUUUCAUGGGGAAACAUGUAAUGUUAUAUUAACCCAGUUCAUAGUGCUGAUUUGUGCAGUUUUUGCCAUUUUAAUUUGUUUUACUAUUUUAAUGUAGGAUAUCAGGGUGAGUAUAGAGUGUAUAUAAAGGACAGAAAGCAGAGGAGAUGUUUAUGCUAUAUGCAAGUAACUUUUUGACUACACAGAGCUCCAGCAUACAGCCAAAGACUUGGCUGUCAAAACUCUGCAAAGAACACUGGUGUUGUGCUCCUGAUGAUCUGUUACCAAUCACCUCAUCAACAGGAUGCAGAAGAUGUGGGCUGGCAGCCAGAGAACUUCUAGUAAAGGUUGAGAACAUUAAGACUGAAACACUUGAUGUCUUUUUGCCUCACAUUUCAGUAGCAAAAUCUUGCAGAUUCCUGUGCAUGCGAGACUGUUUUGGGAAGGAGAACUGUAACUAGUAGUAAGGACUACAACCAUUUGGAUAUCUCCCAAUAAACUUGGAUGUAUUGAAAUCCAGGAUGAUGUUGGAUGAUGCUCAACCUGGAUGAUGUCAGGCUGUCAUAAUAAGGUAAUGGUUAUAAAGAGAGAUUUCUGAUAGUUACAAAAUCAAUGUUAUAUUCAUUCUCCCACAGUGCAAAUGCAACAUUCAGGAACCAAGGACUUUUGGUCUAAAAAUUGUGAAGUAUGUAUUUCCAUCUUUUCUAAAUGUGCUGCAGAUGAGAAUGUGUCCAAAAGAUCCUGUGUGAAUUUAUCCAUCCAGUUGCCAUUUAUGUUUAAAUGGCUGGCUUUGAAUACAAGUGGAAAACAACCACUGUAAAGCACCUUGAAAAUAAAGGCUUUUGACUCAGUCUCCCAUUUCUAUUCCCACUUAUAAACUGAGGAAGCAUGGGCUAGAUAAAUAUAUGUAGUGGUUACAUCUGUGAUUAAGUUGAUUUUUCCUUCGUAGUGCCUGGUAUGAUGCUAUGUUUUGGCUUCAAGAAGAAAAGUAAUAUUAAUAACACACUGAUGUUUUAGUUGUUGCUGAGUUGUGCUGUACAGAGCUGGGGACAUUUCAGAUUUUUAGCUUCUCGUACUGUUCUGCCAGGGGGAGUUGGCCAGGUGGGCAACUGCUUUACGGGGCCUGGCUCAGCAUCAGUGGGUGAGUGGUAAGCAAUUGCUUGUACAUCACAUAUUUUGUAUGUAUAUAGAUAUUAGAGGCUGAGGAAACAAAGGGAGCCUGUGUUUGUGCCUGUGGCUGCAGGAUUUGAGCAUGUCUUCAGUUGCUGCUGCCUGGCACUUUGUUACUCUGCUGUCUUUGCUGUGCUUUCCAUUGUGUUACAGCAUUACAUAAAGCAAUAAUAUUUUCAGUAGAAAUUAUCACUGCAUUGCUUGGAGUUUGCAAAUAUAUUUCUACUGCUUCAAGCAAACUUACUUACACAUUGCAUAUAAUUCUUUAGUAAUUGUGAAAUCACUUCCUGAAUGUUAGGAUUAUCUUCAUUCAAAGAGAAGGCUAAUUUGUGUACUGAGAUUACAUAACUUAUUUCUGCUUAUAUGGUAAGGCAGUAACAGGACUGAAAAGGAAAGCCUGAGCCUCCUCAUGACUAUUUUAUGAUGAAAAUAGAUACUUUCUUUGAGGUUAUGAACAUCUCUGUUCUUUAAAAUACUGGCACUACCUUUGCAUCUUAGAAAUAGAAUUAACUUCAAAUAGACAUCAAAAUAACUGCAUAUGCGAAUUUGUUAACUUUCAAACUCAUUUCCUUCUAUUUUAAUUUAUUUUGUGAAGCCUUAUAAAAUUAUCCCUUUAGACAGUCAAGCUCAGAUGUUCUAACUGUGUCCUCUGCCAUCUUCUUGUGUACUCCUAUCCUACUCCCUGGGAGGUCAGUGCAAGAAGCAGAAAAAUGAUGUUGUGUGAACACUGCUUGGGAAUAGGUGUGCUAUUAACACUGUUGUCUGUCACAAAUCCAAAGCAUAGCAUUGUGUGAGUUACUGUGAAGAAAACUAACUCAAUCCCAGCCAAAACCAGAACAGGGAUCAACUAGACUGUACAAAGUAAGAGAUCUUGGGAGGGAAAAAAUCUUCCUCCCAGGAAGAAAAUCCUUGGAGUCUUAAAAAAAAAAAUAAAAAAUUGAUAUCUCUGCUAAAAAUUGGACUAUUCCAGUUGAACAGUUUUCUUUGUCUUAAUUGAGAACAACUAUGAAUGUUACAAUAGUACGUUGUUUUUUUCUUCUUGCAUAGUAGAUGUAAUAAUAAAGCAGUAUCACUUAAUCACUGUAUACAUAUGAACAUACAUGUACACAUACUUGCUCUCUCUGGGUUUUCAUACAUUAUGAAAUGUAGAAGGCAUUGAGAUCUACUAAUAAGUUUAUGACUUAUUUUAAAAUGCAUCAAUUUGUUUAGUCAUCAUUGUGAACAAAUUGAAAAGUGAAAAUUUCUGUAGUGCUUCACUGAGAUUUGGGCUAGGCUUUCUUUACUCAUCUAUUUUAAUUAAUAACGGAG